rnacentral:rRNA from 1 species
GAGUUCAAGAGUACGUGAAACCGUUCAGGGGUAAACCUGAGAAACCCGAAAGGUCGAACGGGGAGAUUCAGACGCGUCUCGGACAACCUCGGCAGUCGGUGACCGGUGACGGUUCGGCGUUCGCGCCGUCCGCACAGUUUCCGUUCCGUCCGUCGCCGAACGCGUGCACUUCUCCCCCUGUAGGACGUCGCGACCCGUUGGGCGCCGGCCUAAGGACCGCGGUGGAGCCCGGACGCGCAUUUGCGCGUUCGGACCCGUGGUGAUCCGGCCGGUGCGGUGGUACACACCGACGGUACAAUUAGUGGCGCGUGGCCGCGAACAGUUCGCGUCCGGCCGGCCUCAAGUGUGGACGGAAAACCUGGCAUCCGGACUCUGCGCCGGAUCCGGGCCCGCCCGGCUGCUGGAGGCCGUGUCCUCGGACAGACCCGAACACGCCCGUCGGCGACGCUAUAGCUUUGGGUACUUUCAGGACCCGUCUUGAAACACGGACCAAGGAGUCUAGCAUGUACGCGAGUCAUUGGGACUCUUUAAACCUAAAGGCGUAAUGAAAGUGAAGGUCCGCCUCGCGCGGACCGAGGGAGGAUGAGCGAUCUCGAGGGAUCGCUCCGCACUCCCGGGGCGUCUCGUUCUCAUCGCGAGAAGAGGCGCACCCAGAGCGUACACGCUGGGACCCGAAAGAUGGUGAACUAUGCCUGGUCAGGACGAAGUCAGGGGAAACCCUGAUGGAGGUCCGUAGCGAUUCUGACGUGCAAAUCGAUCGUCGGAACUGGGUAUAGGGGCGAAAGACUAAUCGAACCAUCUAGUAGCUGGUUC